rnacentral:rRNA from 1 species
UACAGAGGUCCCAAGCGUUGUUCGGAUUCAUUGGGCGUAAAGGGUGCGUAGGCGGCGCGGUAAGUCGGGUGUGAAAUCUCGGAGCUUAACUCCGAAACUGCAUUCGAUACUGCCGUGCUUGAGGACUGGAGAGGAGACUGGAAUUCAUGGUGUAGCAGUGAAAUGCGUAGAUAUCGUAAGGAAGACCAGUGGCGAAGGCGGGUCUCUGGACAGUUCCUGACACUGAGACACGAAGGCCAGGGGAGCAAACGGG